GGUCAUUUGGUGCAGUGGUUAAGCCACCCGUUUUCCAAAAACUCGGACUCGGGCUGUCGGGGGUUCGAAUCCCCUAGUGAUUG